rnacentral:pre_miRNA from 1 species
CCUUAAGUUCCCUUAAACGCUUCACUGUUCAUACUUUGUUUUUAAGAUCUAUCGAUGGAUAAAUUAAUCUGAUGAACACUGAAGUGUUUGGGGGGACUCUAGG